UAUCGCCAAGCGGUAAGGCACCGGUUUUUGAUACCGGCAUUCCCUGGUUCGAAUCCAGGUA
rnacentral:tRNA from 3 species